CUGGCUCAGAUUGAACGCUGGCGGCAGGCCUAACACAUGCAAGUCGAGCGGCAGCACGGGUACUUGUACCUGGUGGCGAGCGGCGGACGGGUGAGUAAUGCCUAGGAAUCUGCCUGGUAGUGGGGGAUAACGCUCGGAAACGGACGCUAAUACCGCAUACGUCCUACGGGAGAAAGCAGGGGACCUUCGGGCCUUGCGCUAUCAGAUGAGCCUAGGUCGGAUUAGCUAGUUGGUGAGGUAAUGGCUCACCAAGGCGACGAUCCGUAACUGGUCUGAGAGGAUGAUCAGUCACACUGGAACUGAGACACGGUCCAGACUCCUACGGGAGGCAGCAGUGGGGAAUAUUGGACAAUGGGCGAAAGCCUGAUCCAGCCAUGCCGCGUGUGUGAAGAAG
rnacentral:rRNA from 1 species